CCCUGGUUAGCUCAGUUGAUAGAACGCUCCACUGGAAAGGCAGAGGUCACGGGUUCGAUACCCGAACCAGGCG
rnacentral:tRNA from 1 species